rnacentral:lncRNA from 1 species
CUGCUCAUACGAAACGUUUCCUACAUUGUAAAUGUGCAGCUGGCCAUUAUCUGGGUAGUCCAAGAGUCAUCAAGUAAGCUGAUCGAAAGAACUCUACUCUGCAAAGAAUUCUCCCUUUCAUAUUGUUAUCUCUCUAUUCUGAUUUAAGCAUCAGAGGGGUUUUGCCGAAAAUUUUCCGACAAAAGGACUUCUUGUAGAUAAUCGCCAGAGAAGAUUAGUACUUACCCACCUCGAUUAUUUUAUUAAA